rnacentral:rRNA from 1 species
AUUGAACGCUGGCGGCAGGCUUAACACAUGCAAGUCGAGCGGAGUGAGGGUGCUUGCACCUUAGCUUAGCGGCGGACGGGUGAGUAAUGCUUAGGAAUCUGCCUACUAGUGGGGGACAACAUUCCGAAAGGGAUGCUAAUACCGCAUACGCCCUACGGGGGAAAGCAGGGGAUCUUCGGACCUUGCGCUAAUAGAUGAGCCUAAGUCGGAUUAGCUAGUUGGUGGGGUAAAGGCCUACCAAGGCGACGAUCUGUAGCGGGUCUGAGAGGAUGAUCCGCCACACUGGGACUGGGACACGGCCCAGACUCCUACGGGAGGCAGCAGUGGGGAAUAUUGGACGAUGGGCGGAAGCCUGAUCCAGCCAUGCCGCGUGUGUGAAGAAGGCCUUUUGGUUGUAAAGCACUUUAAGCGAGGAGGAGGCUACUAGUAUUAAUACUACUGGAUAGUGGACGUUACUCGCAGAAUAAGCACCGGCUAACUCUGUGCCAGCCGCCGCAGUAA